GACGAACGCUGGCGGCGUGCUUAACACAUGCAAGUCGAACGGAAAGGCCCUGCUUUUGUGGGGUGCUCGAGUGGCGAACGGGUGAGUAACACGUGAGUAACCUGCCCUUGACUUUGGGAUAACUUCAGGAAACUGGGGCUAAUACCGGAUAGGAGCUCCUGCUGCAUGGGGGGGGUUGGAAAGUUUCGGCGGUUGGGGAUGGACUCGCGGCUUAUCAGCUUGUUGGUGGGGUAGUGGCUUACCAAGGCUUUGACGGGUAGGCGGCCUGAGAGGGUGACCGGCCACAUUGGGACUGAGAUACGGCCCAGACUCCUACGGGAGGCAGCAGUGGGGAAUAUUGCACAAUGGGCGGAAGCCUGAUGCAGCAACGCCGCGUGCGGGAUGACGGCCUUCGGGUUGUAAACCGCUUUCGCCUGUGACGAAGCGUGAGUGACGGUAAUGGGUAAAGAAGCACCGGCUAACUACGUG
rnacentral:rRNA from 1 species